GCCCGGGUGGCGGAAUAGGCAGACGCACAGGACUUAAAAUCCUGCGGUUUCACGACCGUGCCGGUUCGACCCCGGCCCCGGGCACCA
rnacentral:tRNA from 2 species